AAGGAGUCUAACAUCUAUGCGAGUGUUCGGGUGUCUAACCCCUACGCGUAAUGAAAGUGAACGGAGGUGGGAGCUUCGGCGCACCAUCGACCGAUCCUGAUGUCCUCGGAUGGAUUUGAGUAAGAGCAUAGCUGUUGGGACCCGAAAGAUGGUGAACUAUGCCUGAAUAGGGUGAAGCCAGAGGAAACUCUGGUGGAGGCUCGCAGCGGUUCUGACGUGCAAAUCGAUCGUCAAAUUUGGGUAUAGGGGCGAAGGACUAAUCGAACCAUCUAGUAGCUGGUUCCUGC
rnacentral:misc_RNA from 1 species